rnacentral:lncRNA from 1 species
AUUUCUAUUCCACGGAAGCCAUCUAGAUUAACAGACCCCAACCUUUAAAUCCUAUCAUCCCAAUCCCCUGUUUAAGAGCCCCUGGCCUAAACAGCACCACUUAUAUACUACGGAUCCUUUCCACAAUAUUCUUUGCCCUGUGGACCAAAAGGAAAAAACGGUCUGAUCCACAUCGUCUCUGUGAUGCACACUAUUAAGAGCACUGCUCUAGAUUCAUUUCCUGACUACAUAAAUGUAUAUGAUUUUAACUUUAAUACUGGGUAUAUUCAGAUGAUUUGAUGUAAAACAACAGAGCCCAUUUUUUUCUGUUUCUGUUAAUAAUACCAACAUCCAUGUUUCAAAACCACGAAAAAUGAAGAGUCCAUGGUUCCUGAACUCAGGCACUCAGUAUAACAUCAUCAUUAUGUUAGGCCUCUGGGUAAGGAAUUCCACUAGCUUUUAUCUUUUCUUGUUUCCUUCUCACUCUGUUAAAGCAAACAUUUAUAACAAACAAUCUCAAAGGCAAAUAGUCAUGUUUGAAUGACUUUGUGCUGAUUUUUAUUAGAAUAAUCAAGGAAACACAUUAAAGUUCACACAUCUAAGGUAGACCAAUAGAUGAAAAUAAAAAGGUUAGUAAUACAUAUCAGUAACCCAGAAAAAAAAACAAGUUAUAAAUCAGACAUUGUACAUGUAAACAAUAAAGGGAGACAACAAUAUCCAGACACUCAUCAACAUAAUAUUUACAAUGACCACCAUCCAAUACAAAUUACUAGAGAAAUUCACAGAAACAGGAAAAUGUGAUUCAUAACCCUUUUAGCUAAAAUCUUUCUUAUGAGUAACAUGACGAACUUCUACAGAAGGAUGUUUUUUUUUUUUUUUUUUUUUUUUUUUUUUU